rnacentral:rRNA from 1 species
GACGAACGCUGGCGGCGUGCUUAACACAUGCAAGUCGAACGGAAAGGCCCUGCUUUUGUGGGGUGCUCGAGUGGCGAACGGGUGAGUAACACGUGAGUAACCUGCCCUUGACUUUGGGAUAACUUCAGGAAACUGGGGCUAAUACCGGAUAGGAGCUCCUGCUGCAUGGUGGGGGUUGGAAAGUUUCGGCGGUUGGGGAUGGACUCGCGGCUUAUCAGCUUGUUGGUGGGGUAGUGGCUUACAAAGUCUUUGACGGGUAGCCGGCCUGAGAGGGUGACCGGCCACAUUGGGACUGAGGUACGGCCCAGACUCCUACGGGAGGCAGCAGGGGGGAAUAUUGCGCAGUAGGCGGAAGCCUGAUGCAGCAACGCCGCGUGCGGGAUGACGGCCUUCGAGUUGUAAACCGCUUUCGCCUGUGACGAAGCGUGAGUGACGGUAAUGGGUAAAGAAGCACCGGCUAACUACGUG